GCUGGUCCUGGGGUACGGGCCGACCGCCGCCGGGUUCGCGUUCCUGCCGUUCUGCGUGGGCGUCGUCGCGGGCUCGAUCCUCGCCACCCGCGC
rnacentral:tRNA from 1 species